rnacentral:rRNA from 1 species
GACGAACGCUGGCGGCGUGCCUAAUACAUGCAAGUCGAGCGAAGUUUUUCUGGUGCUUGCACUAGAAAAACUUAGCGGCGAACGGGUGAGUAACACGUAAAGAACCUGCCUCAUAGACUGGGACAACUAUUGGAAACGAUAGCUAAUACCGGAUAACAGUAUCUCUCGCAUGAGAGAUAUUUAAAAGUUGGUUAUGCUAACACUAUGAGAUGGCUUUGCGGUGCAUUAGCUAGUUGGUGGGGUAAAGGCCCACCAAGGCGACGAUGCAUAGCCGACCUGAGAGGGUGAUCGGCCACACUGGGACUGAGACACGGCCCAGACUCCUACGGGAGGCGGCAGUAGGGAAUCUUCCGCAAUGGGCGAAAGCCUGACGGAGCAACGCCGCGUGAGUGAAGAAGGAUUUCGGUUCGUAAAGCUCUGUUGUUAGGGAAGAAUGGAUAUGUAGUAACUAUACAUGUAAGAGACGGUACCUAACCAGAAAGCCACGGCUAACUACGUG